GCAGAGUCCCUGGUGGAGGAAAAGUUGGAGGUGAGUGUGUGUGUGUGUGUGUGUGUGUGUGUGUGUGUGUGUGUGCGCGCGUGUGCGUGUGUGUGUUUGUGUUAUGCAGGGAGAAGAGCAAGACUCUGGGCAUCCAUAUAAACAUUAGAGAGGAGGUUAGAUUUUGGUAUUUAAGGCAAAUUAGAUUUAUUCACUCAUUCACCAAAGGCAUACUAUGUGUCUGAAAGCAAAGCAUCAAAAAAGUCAAACUCGGGCUUCCCUGGUGGCGCAGUGGUUGAGAGUCCGCCUGACGAUGCAGGGGACACGGGUUCGUGCCCCGGUCUGGGAAGAUCCCACAUGCCGCGGAGCGGCUGGGCCCGUGAGCCAUGGCUGCUGAGCCUGCGCUCCGCAACGGGAGAGGCC